AUUAACACUAAUAGUAUAAUGUAAUAGUUUAUAAUAGUAUAAUAUAAUAGUUAAUAUAUUUAAUAUAUUAUUUAAAUAUUUUUAUUACACAUUAAAUUUUAACAGCAAAGUUACAGUCUAUAAAUGCCACCCUAUAACAAAUACAAAUAACCAAUUAAAAAUACACUAAAACAAUAAGAACAAAUUGCAAACAAAGGCUUAUUGUAAUGUUUAUUUAAAAAAAAUAGAAAAUAUGUGGUAAUGCAGAAUAAUCAGGCCUGGGAGAAAGAGUGUAAAGAUGAUAUAAAAUAUAUUUUAAACUUGAUAUAUAACUGAACAGUUUCAAACAGUAAAGUAAAUGUUUUAUUUUUCAUCAAUUUACAAUAAGAUUCUAUGAACAGAGAGGAAAAUAUAAUCUUAAAAAGAUAUCAUGCUAUAUCAAAACAAUAAUUUUUUUUCCAGUAAUAAUUUGUAUAUCUAUCCCUUCAUAAAUUGAAUUAUCUAAGAACAAUUGAACAACAUCUUAAAUUAGACUGAUCAUAAGUCUGUUUUGAGGAGAUGACUAAUGUUUUUUUGGCUUUAUUCCAUCUAUCCUGCCAUUUUUCCAUUUGUCAUAUUUAAUUUUUAAAACACUUCUGCAAUGAUAAGUCAUAAAUUUGAAUGGAUGCUUAAAUGGAGAUGAGAAAGAUGUUUAAAUGGCAAGGAAUACAAAAUAGUUUCAGUGAAUUUAAAUAUAUAUUACAUGGAAAAAAGAUGAAAUUCAAUUAUUUAAUUAAUGAGUGCUAAUAAAGGUAAUAAUAACCAAACACUUGAAGAAAUAGAAUGAAGAAAAAAUUGAUGUAGCUGACAGAUGGAAUAAAAUAAGUAAUGAAAUACAUGAAAAAGAUAUUGAAUUUCAAGAUUUUAAUAAUUUUAUAGAAUUAGUCUUUUGUUUUCUAGGAAUUACUUCUGUAGAAAGAAUAUUUUCACUUGUUAAUUUUUUGUGGUCAAAGGAGAAAUUGAGAUUAAAUAUUGAAUCUGUGAAAGCAGUGUUAAUUAUAAAGCAAAAUUGCAACUUACAAUGACCAUAACUUAUUAAACAAAAUAAGUUUAUCUGAAAAUAAUACUUUACCCUGGAAAAUAUGUUACGUCAACAUAACUAUUAAAUUUGAUAUCCAUAUUGCAAUAAAAAUAACAUUUUUUUUAAUUAAAUUUUUGAAAAUUAUAUAAAUUUUUCUAAAAGAUUUUUUUCUUUCUUUUAUGUCACCAAAUCAAUAUCACAAAUAAUGUAUUAACAAAUUGUUAAUAAUGUUCAGCUAUAUUUCUUGAUGGAAUUUUAAUAAGAGAUCUUGCAUAUAUCAGCUGCAGCUCCCUGUCUUGUUUUAACAUGGCAAAAUUAUGGUCAUCCUAUCACAUACAUUAUAUAUAUUAUAUUAGUGUUUUUACAGCUUGGCUAAUUAAUAAUGAACCAAGUAUGAUGGUUUAUGAUGGUCUGUAUGAAAAAUGCAUUACUUUUAUUGAAUUAUUUAUCUAUUUUCUAUAGCUGUUGUUUUCUUCUGUAGGAAAUUAAAUUGUAACAAUGACUUCUAAGAUUAUGCAGUAACUUGAAAUAAGAGAGCUAUGAUCUGUUUUUUAGAUUAUUUAGAAAGAGGUAGUAGUGCAACUAACAGACAAUGUUGUCACUACUAUGUUGUAUGCAACAGUAAAAUUAGACAGAAGUGAAAAUGACACAUGACCACAUUAAUCAAUCAAUGAUAAAAUACUGAAAAAGUUCAGAAAUCAUAAUAGAGAGAGCUGCCAGAUCAUAUAGUAGAAUACUUGCAGAAUAUAAAAAUUGUGGAAUUCAUUAUUUACCAGAAAUUAAAAAUACUGUCAAUAUAAGGUAUUCCAAUCUCUGACAGAAAAGCAAAUAUGCAUUUCAGUAUUAUUAUUUUGAACUUGUCUUUAAAAGCUUUUGGAUGACUGAGACAGGUUUAUGAUUAAUUUAUACACAAUUUACACAAUUAAAAAUCCUAAAUGAGAUUUCAGUUUACUAUUUUGAUCCAGAUAUUUAUCAAUAAUCAAAGCAGCAAAAGCAUGUCAGUCUGCAGCCUAGGUAUAAGGAGUUCAAAGUCCUAUGCCUAUUUUGAUAAGAUUAUGGCAAUAAUUUUCUUACAUGUUAAAGCUGAAGUUAUGACAGAUUUAUUUGCUAUAGUUCCAUCAAAACUUGAAAAUACUGAAUCAACUUAUACGAAAUAAUUAGAAUUGAAAUUAGAAAAUAACACUUUUUUUUUAGGAAAAACAGUUUUUUUGAAAAGGUGAUUUUCAGUGCUAUUUGAUUAUGACAAUACAUAGCUAUACACUUCAAGUUCAUUGCACUUGAUACUAAAAAUGUUUAUUCUUUCAAGAAAUUAAAGAAUCUUUGCAAUAGCAAUGUUGUCAUUGAAAUAGUUUAAUGGUGUAUUAUACAAGAUUUUUUUCUGAUAUCAGAAAGUUGGAGUUCAGAUGGACUGAGUCCAUCUUUUUGGAAGAGAAAUAUUUAGCAAAGUCAGAAUAUUUUGAAUUUCAAUAAUUUGGAGAUCCUGUCAAAGAAACUUGUUAAUAAUUAGUGAAACUUGGGCUGUUAGUAAGAAAAAUUUUGUUAAAGAUGCAGUAUGCAGAUAAAAAAUAUGUAUAUGAUAAUUCCCAUAUGGUA